rnacentral:tRNA from 1 species
UCCCGUGUGGCUCAGUUGGUAGAGCAUGGUGCUUGCAAUGCCAGGGUUGUGUGUUCGAAUCCCAUGGGGA